rnacentral:rRNA from 1 species
UGGGGAAUAUUGGACAAUGGGCGAAAGCCUGAUCCAGCAAUGCCGCGUGUGUGAAGAAGGCCUGCGGGUUGUAAAGCACUUUUGUCGGGAAAGAAAAUCACAGGGUUAAUACCCCUGUGCCUUGACGGUACCCGAAGAAUAAGCACCGGCUAACUCCGUG